GGGUGAUUAGCUCAGUUGGUUAAGAGUAUCUGCCUUACAAGCAGAGGGUCACUGGUUCAAAUCCAGUAUCACCCACUA
rnacentral:tRNA from 4 species